UUUCAUAGUAGAAUCAAUGUCUGGGGACUUGCUAAGAAACUCCAGGCUGAAGGAAUCCAGGCAGAGGAAUUGUGUGGCUUCCCAUGGAAAAGUCAAAAGCAUUCCUCCUGGCUUUCUUGGCUACUAGCUACUUCUUAUAUGUCAUUGGUGACACAUCACCUCAGGUCAUUUCCUGCAGUCAUUAUCAAAAGAAGUCUGUGCAGAAGAAACGCGUAUGUUCCAUAAGAGUCAGCCCAUUGUGUGCUUCUAAUAAUGUUACAUAUCCCAAUUUCUGCGUGUACUGUUUCAUCAACAUAUGCUUUUGAAAUACAACUCUGGGAGUUGAGAAAGGUAUCAAGUACUGUGGUGCUCAAUGUGCUAUACGUAGCCACCUAUAUCUUCAGAUGAAGACGUUCUACGCAUGAAGAAGAAAAGGAGGAAGCUCUACUACUGAUAAAAGUCUCCAAUGUUGCCCAAAACUCCAGCUUGAUAUACAUCUUGCCAAUUUGCUUUCAAGUAAUCCAGACGGACCCAGUGACCUUCCUGUUGGUUUUCCCCCUCAUCUUUUUGUGAUUGCUUUAGCACUGUAUGAACUUGAUUUACAUGCCAGUCGAAAGCAUUCAGAUCUGCCCGAGUCUCUCUUACCUUGUAAACAUUAUGUCCCAACCAUAGGGCUCAGCACACCACUAAAGCGCCACACCAGCCCUAAGAUCCCCAUAAAGUGAAUCGGCCCUUUAACUCUUCUGUGAAAAUGGUCUUAUCUGGCCUGGUGAAAUGUCCCUCAUGGCUGAGGUCCAGACAAACAUCAGAGGCUUGUGGAAGAUACUCGAGGAAGGGCAGGCACUGCUGAGACCUCAGACAGUGAUAACCAAGUGUAGCUAAUGGCUCACUUAAGUCAGUCUUCCAGAGAAUAAUUUCCCUCGUGGGUAUUUAGAUUAUACAACGUUGGUCUCAAGGGGUUCUGAGUAUUUAGUUUCUCUGCUUCCACAGUACUCAGACUGAACUCAACUGCCUCUAUGUGCCACAGCCUCAUAAGUCAAGCUGUGAGAAGCUGUCACACUUCUUGUUUAGAGGUGUUUCCCUACUCAAAAGCACAAUUCAAAGGCAGAGUACUCUCUGACCAUCAUUGUUUCCUGUAUUGGCUAUUACUAGGGUCCCCAUCUGCAUUCUGUACCAUGUGUUUUCUCUUCUUUUUUAUUAAACUUAAGUCCUGGUGGUUUUCUAUCAGUUGAAUGUAACUCCCAAUCUUUCCUUCUUUGCAGCUUAGUCUUCCCAUGUGUUCCAAAUUUUGGAUCCCAGGAGGGCUGUUUAGCUAAUCAUUAUUUCUUUUACCCUGCUUCCCCAUGCUCACCAUAAGAAAUGGCAAACCAAAGCUUGAGUACCCCACAGUUCACCCUGGGGUCACAAUGAGUUUAUUAGGCUUAUAUACACACCAGGGAUGAGGGGAUAUGGGCAGAAGCGUGAGUGAGCCUAAAGCAAUGAAAGUCAGCAUCCAGCACAGAUGAUCAUUCCUUCAUGGAUACAUAAAGCUAUCUUUCCCCAGCCUGUAUACUCUAGCAUUUCUGAAAACCCUGAGGCUAGGUGCAAGAAUGGCUGAAAGAGGUGUCUGGAUACCCAGGUGAGGGUUCAAUGUCCUUUCCCACACCCUAAACGAAAAAGGAAUAUCAACAGUAAAGAAGCCUGCAUGUGGUGACUGCAAGUAGAAACAGCUGGUUGCAUGAGGGUGGCAUCUGUUUUGGUAAAAUAAUAGUACAGAGCAAGGCUAGUGCAGAGGACAGCAUCCACAUGCUGUCCUUGUAAUUCUGCCUCUCCAUUGCCUCUGUGAACAAGAGUUCCUGGGAGUAAGCUAGGUCCUCAAGGCUGGCUGACUGAUUAAAACUUCAAUGAUGUGGAGAAGCUGGAAUGUUGCAGAUCUUAGACCCUAGUUACAGUUUAUCUGGGGUUAUCUUUAUGUUGCUAAAUAGUUAUUUCUUGCUCCUUUCUGUAUCAGACCUAACAUUUUAACAGACAAAAAAACCUUUUGGAACCUAUUAACAAAACCCUAGUUUUCCACCAAUCAAAGAGCUAAAAGUGUUGUCAGAUAGCAUCUAAGACCUAUAGCGAAGUCUCCCCUGUCUUGCUUUAGCCAACCAUCCUUUGUAUCCACCAAUGUAUUUGAAAGGUGCCUUGAUUUAUGGCUUUUCUUUUUCAUGUUACUGUAAAAAAUUCACGAAAUGUCUUCCUAUUGGAACAGAGAAUCUGGGACAACCAAAAUCUAUGUUCUCUGGGCCAACCAUCACCACUCGUCUCCAGAAUAAAUUCUCGCUUUUCUUUGAGGUGAGGACCGUCUUUGUAUUGGUAGUUAUGACUCCCAGUGUGGGCCUCCAAAGGUACACUUUUCACAGCAGGAGUCACCUAUUGGAAACAAAGUAUCUGCUACUGCUUGGAAGACACUGGGUGCUCUUUCCUCAGGUAGGCUGUGGUUGAGUGUUCUCUGGGGGCUUUCUCAGUUCUUGAUUUGUACUAACGGUCAAUUUGAUUAUUUUGAGUUGGUUAUUUAAAGAACGUGUUUAGUAGCUACUUUUUUUUUUUAAAAAAAAUUGCUUCCAAAGUAUUUGGUUUAAGGCAUCUAUUUUGCUUUGAAAGAAUUUUGACUCAACAUUCAGUUUCUUGUUUGCUUUCAGAUCUCUGAGGUUAUUUUGAAUGUUUAUUUGUGAAACUGGAUAAUAGCCUCCUCCUUCUUGUCCCCCUCCUCUUCUCUUUUUCAUUUCCUCUGGACACUUUUCCCAUGUGGAAUCUAAGCAAUGAGGGCAUGUUUGGGGUGGUUUUGUGUUUGAUUGGUUAUGUUAAUUCAACUUGCAAUUUUAAAAAAAGUAGAAAAAUAUGGCUAAAAGUACAAUUCCUCUAAAUGGGAAACAUUUAGUACCUCCAAAUUGGUUUAUUUUGUACACAAUUAAAAAUCCUGGGCAAUAUUUUUUUCUACCCAUAAAUUUCGGCCUCCUUUAAUUGGAAUGUAAAAUGAUCUUUAAAAGAAAUGAUAUAAUUACUAAUUCAUCAUAAUAGCUCAAAAAACUACAAGUGUAAAGGAGAAAUAAAAAAUAAAUUAGAAAAUUUAGAUAUUAAAACUAUAGAUGCAUACAUAUGUAAGUUCUGAAAAUAAUGCUUUACUCUCAUCUUCUCUGACUUCAUUUCUUCUUUCUUCAUUUCCUAACAGCAAAUUAUAUAUAAAAGGAAAGGACUAUGGCCCAUCUUAAGAUACUAAAAAUCCCCAUUGUAAAGGCCACACUACUUUGGUAAGCUAUACUCACACUUGGAUCUGUCUUAUAUUUUUCCUUGAGUGGUUUUUUCUUUUAAUCCUCAUCCUUAAGCCUCCAUUUAAAAUGUCUUUAUUAUUUAAGCUAAUCCUAAAAUUCCUAUCAUCAUUGAAGUCACAAAUCCUGGUUUGGUCUGCACUAAGUUCUCUAGUGUUGAGAGGAACUCCUCAGGCUGCUAAGGAUGACCACAUAAAGCUAUGUCUCUGCCCCCUCACUGCUAAAUACCUGAGGGUUUAUAAUGAGGUCCAUCUUCAAACAUCAUUUGUGAGUUUCUGUCUGAUGCUCAGCUGAUCUACCCUGCUAAGAAUGGCUGCAUAUUACUUUGUGUUUCUUUGUUUCUG